GACUGGGAUACCAUUUGGAAACAGGUGYUAAUACCGGAUAAUAAAUAAGAUCGCAUGAUCAGCUUUUGAAAGGCGGCGUAAGCUGUCGCUAAGGGAUGGCCCCGCGGUGCAUUAGCUAGUUGGUAAGGUAACGGCUUACCAAGGCGACGAUGCAUAGCCGAGUUGAGAGACUGAUCGGCCACAUUGGGACUGAGACACGGCCCAAACUCCUACGGGAGGCAGCAGUAGGGAAUCUUCCACAAUGGACGCAAGUCUGAUGGAGCAACGCCGCGUGAGUGAAGAAGGUUUUCGGAUCGUAAAGCUCUGUUGUUGGUGAAGAAGGAUAGAGGUAGUAACUGGCCUUUAUUUGACGGUAAUCAACCAGAAAGUCACGGCUAACUACGUGCCAGCAGCCGCGGUAAUACGUAGGUGGCAAGCGUUGUCCGGAUUUAUUGGGCGUAAAGCGAGCGCAGGCGGAAAAAUAAGUCUAAUGUGAAAGCCCUCGGCUUAACCGAGGAACUGCAUCGGAAACUGUUUUUCUUGAGUGCAGAAGAGGAGAGUGGAACUCCAUGUGUAGCGGUGGAAUGCGUAGAUAUAUGGAAGAACACCAGUGGCGAAGGCGGCUCUCUGGUCUGCAACUGACGCUGAGGCUCGAAAGCAUGGGUAGCGAACAGGAUUAGAUACCCUGGUAGUCCAUGCCGUAAACGAUGAGUGCUAAGUGUUGGGAGGUUUCCGCCUCUCAGUGCUGCAGCUAACGCAUUAAGCACUCCGCCUGGGGAGUACGACCGCAAGGUUGAAACUCAAAGGAAUUGACGGGGGCCCGCACAAGCGGUGGAGCAUGUGGUUUAAUUCGAAGCAACGCGAAGAACCUUACCAGGUCUUGACGUCUAGUGCAAUCUGUAGAGAUACGGAGUUCCCUUCGGGGACGCUAAGACAGGUGGUGCAUGGCUGUCGUCAGCUCGUGUCGUGAGAUGUUGGGUUAAGUCCCGCAACGAGCGCAACCCUUGUUAUUAGUUGCCAGCAUUAAGUUGGGCACUCUAAUGAGACUGCCGGUGACAAACCGGAGGAAGGUGGGGAUGACGUCAAGUCAUCAUGCCCCUUAUGACCUGGGCUACACACGUGCUACAAUGGGCAGUACAACGAGAAGCAAGCCUGCGAAGGCAAGCGAAUCUCUGAAUACUGUUCUCAGUUCGGACUGCAGUCUGCAACAGGGGAUAACAAAUUC
rnacentral:rRNA from 1 species